rnacentral:tRNA from 1 species
GCCCGGGUGGUGGAAUUGGUAGACACAAGGGACUUAAAAUCCCUCGGUUGGCAACGACUGUGCCGGUUCAAGUCCGGCCCUGGGCA